rnacentral:rRNA from 1 species
AAUGAACGUUGGCGGCGUGGAUUAGGCAUGCAAGUCGUACGAGAAUCGUAGCAAUACGAGGAAAGUGGCGAAAGGGAGAGGAUUACGUGGGAAUUUACACUCAGAACUGGGAUAGCGGCGGGAAACUGCAGGUAAUACCAGAUAAUGUCUUCGGACCAAAGGCGUGAUUCCGUCCGGGGAUGAGCCCACGUCCUAUUGAGCUAGUUGGUAGGGUAAUGGCCUACCAAGGCAAAGAUGGGUAGCGGGUGUGAGAGCAUGACCCGCCGCACUGGGACUGAGAACUGCCCAGAGAGCUACGGGUGGCUGCAGUCGAGAAUCUUCGGCAAUGAGCGCAAGCUUGACCGAGCGACGCCGCGUGCGGGAUGAAGGCCUUCGGGUUGUAAACCGCUGUCGUAGGGGAGCAAGAGAUGAAGGUACUCCUUCAAAUUUGAGCGAUCCUAGGAGGAAGGACGGGCUAAGUUCGUGCCAGCCGCCGCAGUAA